GGGAUCUCAGAGUAUUCUCCGUAUCUGAAUUGUAUUGACACUUGUCGCGCUUGUGAUGCAUUUUUAGGUGGGGGUGCAAAGUAGUGGAUUAUAAACCCUUAGGUGGGUUACGUCACGCGGAUUCGAAAAAUGGAAUUGAAGUGAAUUGAGCAGAGUUUUACUGGCGUCCGCCACAUGUUGUUGCCUUGUUAGGGGGAAUGA